CAAAAAUUAUGUAGCCUGAACCCCACAUAGAAUUAGUCAGGCACUUUGAUAGUCGUUUGUUUUUUUAAUCAAAAAAAUCCCAAACUUUUGCUGGUUAUAGCUUUUAUAGUGUCAUGUAAACUGAAUAUUCUUCUUCUGUACAUCAGUGGAAUAAUCAGCCCUUUUGGAGAUGAUUUCCUCUCAUGAAUCAGUGUCUGCUGCAGCGUUUUCUCCCUUUUUUUUCCUCCCCCAGUCUCCGUCGUGUUACUUUCAGCCUGAAUCAGAGUCCAAACUGCGUCUUUAGCAGGAGCUGCCUCGGCUUUGAACCCCGUCACAACCGAAGUGUCCUUGAUUGAGUCGGAGCAGCUCGGCUGAGACAUUUUGCUCGUCUCGGAGUCUCACAGGGAGAUGACGAGUAGCUAAUUCCUCCUUUCACUGAGUGGAAUUAAGUGAUUGAAGUGCUCCACAUUCCCAAAUUCUCAGAGUUAUUUUGGGGCCGUUGCAGCGCUGAAGGACGGCUGUAUAUUCAUGAGCUCUCCUUUUUAGUCGUUAGGCCCCAAAUCUUCGGCCAGACUGGCUGCCAACCAGGUCAGCAGCAGAGCAAUUUCACUUCCUGAGCCCACAGAGCUUCAUCAGGAAAAAUCUGACUUAGUGAUUCACAGGGUGGAAAAAAAAAAAGCAACCCAAAAAACAUAUAUUUAAGUUCAGUCAUGCCGUCUGGAAACAUCUUUAAAUAAACUGUUUCAUCCUCUGAUGCUGCCAGAAGAACUGAAAACUUCCAGGUUUUUAUCAAUCAAUCGAUUGAUUUUUUUUUUCCAGAAUGGGUUCAAUCAGAUCUUGAAAAACACCUUUUAAAGAUCAGAAAAUGCCUCAUUAGAGUCGUCCAGUGGGGAAAAUUUCCAGUUUAUCGGAUGAAAACGUGAUCUUCUGCAUCAUUGAAGCUUUUCUGCAAAGAACUAAACCAGAUGAAAUUAAAUAAAGCAUUCUGAAAUGAGUUUUUAUGAUUAAAUACAAAUUUGACUAUAAUUAUUGCUGCAAAAUUCUACUCAUAAUGAUGAUUAUUUUGCCCAGUUAGGCUGAAACUAGACUUGUUUGUGUUACCAAAUGUAUGGGAUUGUAUUCUAGAUUAAUCAAUUUAUUUAUUUUGUACAUAAAAUGACAAAAAAUGGUGAAGUAUGUCAGCUCUAAUUCUGUGUUUUUCCCUAAAAUUUACACAAUUAUCUUAUCAAACUUUUUUUCUCUCCAUUGAAUAGAAAUCAAUGCCGCAAUCAACCAGACUCCUUUUUAUGAAUUAUUUAAGCAAAAUGUCAAUAAAUGGCUUAUGUAGAAUCAACAAUUAUUACCUUUAACCAGCUUAUAUGUGUAAUAUAUGCUGUAUUUAACUGUAAAUGCAUUUUUUAAAUUUUUUUUAAAUUUAGAAUAUAGGCUGAUUUAACUAUUGUUCAUGCUGGCAUAUAAUUAUUCAUUUUGGAUGCACAACAGCAGACUGCUUGGGAAAAUUUGCCUUUUGGCUUACUUGGGUACAUUUACAUUUAUUCGAAUGUUGAUGAAUGCAAGUUUUCCCUUUUUCUAAAUAAAUUAAAUUGAAAAAACACUCGGGAAAAACAGCGUUGUGAAACUUAAGCAGACUUUGGAAAAAUUAAGUUUUUUAAUAAAAAUUAGUACUUGAAUUAAAGAAGAAGAAGAAUCUACAAUUAACUGCAAAAAUAUUCCAAAAUUAUCGAUUUUACAGAUGAGUAAUUUGAAAUUUUCUGUUACUGAUAUUUGGAAUACAUGUGCACGGUAUAUAAGAACAUUUUUACAAUUACCAAACACAAAUGAUUGUUUAUGUUUCAUUAAAAGAGAACUUUUUUGACAUUUAUUCUUAGUGUUGAUUGGCUGUUAAUCGAUAGGAACCAAUCGGAUUGUGCUGGUGGCUGGGACAAACAGUUUUAAAUUAAUUUACUGUAUCAGGAAUCUGUUAUAAACAAGGGUACUGAUAAUUGUAAUAAUGCUGAAUAUCAGACCAGACAAUCAGUCAGUCCUCUAAUUAAUAUGAGGAUUAUUGAGGACACUUGAGAAUGUUGCACUUUUCUGUUGUUAAAAGCAAAUGAUGAAAUUAUAUUUUCAUUAUUGAUUAUUUGUUCUUUCUAUAGCAUAUUUGAAAAUGAACAUGUCUUCGAAUAUCUUCUUUUGUUUGGCCUUCCUUUCAUUUUUAGGCUCAAACUUUAUGCAUUUUUGCUUAAGACAUAAAAAUUUUAUAGUAACUUAUUUAUGGUAUUUUGUUGAUCAUCUAAUUGAUUAACGGACCUGUUAUUGCACCUCUAAAUCAGGAUUCUAGUACCUAUUUUUGCUGUUUUGUGCAGAAGCAAGUGCGUGGCAUUGAUCGCGGAGCUGACUUGCUGUAAAAUGUCAGAACGUCCACGGUGAGAGAGGUCUGUUAGCGUCGUCGUCAUCGUGAAUGUCCAGCAGCUCUGCGGUUUCAGCAGAUCUCACUGAUGAGCAGCGGUGGUGAAAAUGAGCCUGAAAAUAAAUGAAGGCUGGCAGCUGUAAACUCUCCACGCCGGCCAGAGCGAAUCAAAUCAAUACUCUGUCUGCUGCCAGACCCUUUAUCUCUGCUCCUCCACAUCUCCAUUCCCGCUGGCUUCGUCCCAGUCUGCCCAGUGUUCCCAGUGGCUUCCAGCCUCCUGGCAACUCUCCUGUCAGCCUGCAGAGCGGCUGCACGGAGGCGGCGCCGAGCCAGCCUGGCGAAUUAGAGAUCCGUCCUGAGUCCAGCUGACCUCUGACCUCUGACCCGCAUUUGUGUCGGACUCUCGGCUGCCGGUCGCGAUGAAGACGAGGAUGAGGUGUUGACGUGUGAAAGGAAGGCAAGGGUCAUCACACCUGCAGCUCACAGAUGGACAAGGAUGAGUCCCUGAAAGUCUUGGAUUACACAGCGGAGGACUUUGGGAAUUCUUGGGAUUCUCUGCGUGAGGCACAGCAAACAAAUAAAAACUAGAGGCUUGUUAUUGUGUUGGAAUGUCGAACUAAAGGAUCCUUGAAUACAG
ensembl:lncRNA